UUUUUUUUUUUUUUUUUGGCUUUUCAGGGCCACAUCUGCAGCAUAUGGAGGUUCCCAGGUUAUGUCCCUAAAAAGCAAAAAUGCCAAAACAAACAAGCAAACAAACAAAAAACAAAAAACCAUGGAGAUGCAGCCAACGAAAUCCAGAACCUAGAAAACUCUGCGGGACAAAUAACACGCUUCUGUAAUCAAGCAGACAGCGGAAUGUACAGAUUAAAAGAGGCUUGAGGAAGUUGCUGUUGUGGCUCAGUGGUAAUGAGACCAACAAGUAUUCAUGAGGAUUCCGGUUCAAUCCCUGGCCUCAUUCAGUGGGUUAAGGAUCCAGCGUUGCCUUGAGCUGUGGUUUUGGUCACAGACAUGGCUCAGAUUUGGCGUUGCUGGGGGUGUGGUGUAGGCCAGCGGUUACAGCUCCAGUUCAACCUCUAGCCUGGGAAUUUCCAUGCAGCCCUAAAAGGAAAAAAAAGGAAAAAAAGGGGGGACAGGGCUUGAGAGACGUAUCAUCCAGCGGCAGUAUAUUAGGAUCCGGGUUCAGAUGCUAGAAAUGCUGCCCAUGGGAAAUUUAGGGUAAUAGGAAACCUAACUGGAUAUUUGAUGACGAUUAUCAUUUGUAAGUAUGUAAAUGCGAUUGGCCUAUAUGUCCUAAAAAAGUCUUUACCUGCUAGAGAUAUUUGCUGAAACAUUUGCAGACAAACUCUUACUCUUUCUGGAUUUGAUUCCACUGUCCUGGGGAAAUGGACAGGACGCAGGAGAGAUGGGGUCGGUUGUGCAGUGACCUUAGGAAGCUGAGUCGUGAGCGCCCAGAGGUCCUUCUCGUGUUAAUUUCUAUUACACCGUUGCCUGGGCUUUUAUAUGUGAUUGAAAAUGUCUAUAUUAAAAAGGUGAACUUGGUGUUCCCCGNGGCUCAGUGGGUUAACAAUCCAGCAUUGUCACUGCUGUGGCACAGGUUCGAUCUCUGGUCCCGGAAGUUCCAUGUGCAAUGGGCACUGCCAAAAAAAAUCAAUCAGCGAAUGGAAAAGUAAAAUUGCCAGUGAAAUGGCUGGCAAGGCUUAGUCCUGUAGGACUAGCAGUGAAAGGAUGAUCAUGCCUCCCCAGGAAUACUUUCUCCUGCACAUCGACAUACUAUUGGAGGCUAUUGCUCUGGAGAAAGAAAUCUAUGCGGCCAGCCGGGCUGGAACACACUCUGGACAUGGAACGAGGAGUGACAGCACGUGAUGCUUCUAGUGCAGGAUUAGGCUAUGAUUGUGGAAGAGGCUCCACCUCCCCCACCACUGGCGACUCCUCCGUUUCCUCCUUCUGUAAUUGUUCUGACUUUUAUAACGGCCUGUCAAGUAACAGCGCGUCUCUGCAACAUCUCACUUCAGAAGGAAGGUAGUUUUGUUGAAAUAAAAAGGUGUUUGGGAAAUGCAAUGUUUGUUUUGAUUUAGGAGCUGAGUGCUGCUUCAAGUGCCUGGUCAUCAGGCAGCUCCAGCCAUGAGCAGAAACUGCCACGGCAACAGGCCAAGGAGCCACACAGGGAUUGAAGGUCAGGGCUAGGCUGGUGGUGGGCGGGGGAGGGGUCCAGAAGGAGGGUCUCAGUGACUAUCUGACUCCAAGCCAAUGGGGCUGGAGGCUGGCCGGGGGUGUCUGUGGGGCAAUUGCACCUAUGCGUCAGCCCUCCUGCUUCCUGGAACAGCAGUGCCUUUCCCCGCUGAUGUUAUCCAGGCCUGCUGACCUCUCUGGACGCCAGCAUCAGGGCCCAUCCCUGCCUCGAGGUGACCCUGUCCACUGCUCAGCCAAGCAGCGUCUUUCAGACUCCAGGCUCCUGGCACCCCUGCACCCCCACCUCACCCGUCACAGCCCUGGACACUAGGUCAGGCCAAGGCAGCCCCUGUGAGGGGACGGAGCUCAGAAAGUCCAGUCCUGACCACUUGGGUCAUUUCUUUGUGUCUUUUUAUCUUCAUGGCACCCCCGAGGGACCCUAGCAUUGUCCCAUUUAGAGGCCAGAGGCGGGAGUACAUAGGUGCUAGGCUUCUGUGCCAGGGUUGAGGCCGAGGCAGACUUUUAGCUCCAGGUCCUCCUGCACUGCAGGGUCCAUGACUCCUGAGCCCAGCCCUGGGGCAGACAGGGCCAGACAAGCAGAAGCGGUCCCCAUACCCUGCCAGUAUUUCAGCCAGAAUCACCUUCCAUGCCCAGCAGAGUCUUCCACGGUGAGGCGGUCCAGGGUUGGCCUGGAGGAGUUCCUGGAGGAAACUGGGGGAAUGCCCUGCUCCGAGUACCCAGCACCAUGCUGGCCGCC
rnacentral:lncRNA from 1 species